UCCGUGACUUCUCCGUACCUGGCCAAUGUGAGCGCGCGGAGACCGUAUAUCCUGGGGCGGGGCUAGAGGACGGACCAAUGACGGGAGGGCGACGCCGCCAUCAGGGCAGGCUGUAGCGUGGCUGGAAGUUACUGUGCGGCGGCGGCUAAGAAGGCGGCUGUGGUGGCGGCGGUGGCGGCUGAGGCAGUAGCUGAGGCGGCGACAGAGGAAGCAGAAGAUGGCAGAUUUUUUGAAAGGACUGCCAGUCUACAACAAAAGCAAUUUUAGUCGAUUUCAUGCUGACUCUGUGUGUAAAGCCUCGAAUCGACGCCCCUCAGUCUACCUGCCCACGCGCGAGUACCCAUCUGAACAGAUCAUCGUGACAGAAAAAACAAACAUCCUUUUGCGCUACCUACAUCAGCAAUGGGACAAAAAGAACGCUGCCAAGAAGAGAGACCAGGAGCAAGUGGACCUCGAGGGCGAGAGCUCAGCGCCUCCCCGCAAGGUCGCACGGACCGACAGCCCAGACAUGCACGAGGACACUUAAGACUGAUGCUCCCCCAUAGGUGCCUCCUGUCUUGUCUGCUCCUCACCCGCCUGCCGUGUAGCCCCUUCCUCACACUGGCUCCCCCAGCUCUGGGUGGGGCCCAUUCAGGCUCCAAGCCUUUGGACGUAAGGAGGCUUGAAGAGAGGCCACAUCCAUCCCUGAUCACACAGCAAAGUCCCAGUGACUUGGGUCUGACAGCCAUUCUGCAGUGGGACAUCCUAGCCACUCCCAACUCCAGUCUGUCCAGGGAGCUCCGAAAGGCACCAUCCCCCGAACGUUCCCCCGAUUUUCAGCCCCAAGUUCUUCCCACUGCCCCUGGCUCCUCGAAUGGCAGCCUGGGAGGUGGGUGUACCAGGAAGUGCAGCAGAUAAAGGGGACAGAACCACCCCUGUCACUCCACAGGGCUGCAGCUAACUCAGGACCCGGCCUGGCACCCAAACAGCUGAGUUCUUCCAGCUCUUUGUGAUUUCUUCCUUUGUUUAGGAGGCUGAAGGCACAGCAGGCUUGGGGCUCAGUAGCUCCUCCCAGUGGCCUGGAGUCGGCUCCAAAUCUGGGCCAUCUCAGAGGUGGCACAGUUUGGAGUUUUUCAUGUGGCCUCCAGACCCAGUUCUUAGGAGGAGGCACCAAGGUUUCGAGAUAGGAGGAGCAUCCACCUCAGGCUCACCAGGCCCAAGAGUCAGUGUCAGCCUCAAGUCACUGGGCCCUGUGAACCCCACUUCCAUUGCUCUGUCCUCAGGCACUGUUGAAAUAUACUUUUUAUUGCAUUUCUGCCGUUUUACAAAAAUAUGACAAAAUAAAUUAAAAACAAAUAAAUAA